GCAGUUUACACAGUAUAAGAAAUAUGUAAAUGGUGGAACUUUAAUUAGUUUAUCAGAGGGAGACAACUAUAUUCUGUUCAAGGGAGAUAUUUAUAUAGUGAAAAACAUUUUAAAAGACAAGGAAGCAUCGCAUCUAGUCUGUCUUAAAUUCCAAAACAAGUCAUCUUUUUUCACCUAUCCCAUUGAUUCAUCAAUUCUUGAUAUAUCCUUUGUGAAACAACCCGGGCAGUCAUUGACUAUUGUUCCUACACAGACUGUUUCAAAAGUCCUUCUUUUACAGUAUAAGGAUGGGUUUGUGGCAUAUCCUUUACUGCAUACUGCUUGAUUUCCCCAAUCCCCCCGCCCCCCGCCCCUUCUGUAUCUGACAAAUGUACAGAACCUACCAAUCAUAAAGAAUAGUAACAAUAAGACUAGGAAAUAUUUUGGUUUAGAUAGAUUUCCACUGGGUAAGUAAUAGAGCUUCAAUAAAUGUAUAUAGUUUGUAACACUAGAUAUAUUGUUUUUUUUUUUUUUUUAUAGAUGUAUUCUAUAGUUGUUUUUACUGAAAAGAAUGAGACAGAGGUGAUACCAAGUGACUGGCUGAGCAUCGACAAAAAAAAUUCCUUUUGGCCCCCAUAUAAUGGUACAAAAUGUAGAAAAGCGGUUAAAAGAAAUGAAACUCCUGAUGAAGAAUGGAACGAAUAUAUAACUGAAUGGGUGGCUGAGUAUGAUUCCUAUGAAAAAGCCAGAAGAAAGCUGGUGAAGUUUUGUAAAGGCAACAGUUUGGAGUCUACAGAUGAGGACAGUGUACGGAAAAGAGUACCAUCAUCAAAAUAUGUAAAUGGAUUUACAUCUAAUACAGCCUCAGGAAGACCUCCAGUGUAGGCCUCAACAAGCUGGCUCCACACAGAGACAAUGGAAAGACCAAAAAAAAAAACUUCUGCAGUAAUGGAGCCAAAAGAUUGAAUUUGCCAGCCAUACCACCAUUUGCACCAUCAGCACCUGCUGUGACAGUCCCUGAACCAAGACAAGAUGAAAGAGAACUCCGGCUCUACCAGAUGCUGGAAGAGAUAAAGGGUCAAGUCAGGCAGAAUACGCUCCUCCUUCAGGCCGUUAUGCGAAGAGAGAAUGCAGCUGAAGUUGUAAAUGAGGAGUUUCAGUUUCCAUUAAGGAGCAUGACAGGCAUAAAAGA